GAUAUCCGCACACAUCAAUGAUUGAUAGGAUUUGGCCGAAAACUUUUUGGCACUUGUCCUUCCUCGCGAUAAAUUUCCCUUUUCGGGCGCUGCCAAAACGAGAUUUACGAGCAUAUUUUGGUGAAAAACUUUCGAGAACCCAACAAAGCGACAACUAAUGAGCUCCUGAAGGACUUGCUAGCCGCUCUUCAUUAGCCUAAUGAGCAGAGUGACGCCGCAAACUGCUGCAAAACUAAUGUGUUACCAUUAACGAUUUAAGGUUAAAGUCAGAUCAGAAACUGGCAACAGAACACACCCCACAUUCCCACCGUCAAUGUCAACGCUACGUGUUUGGCAUGCAAACCCAGAGAAAGGCGGAAAAUCGGGUAGACCCAGGGAGUAAAAGUAAAAUGCAGGAGGAAGCCCCCCAAUCAUCCGGCCAUGCGAUUACAUGUGUGAACUAUCGAUUGAAUUAAGACCAGCCGGAGCGGCUGGGGGCGUAUGCGAGCCACUUAAGCGUGUCGCUCGACGCCGCUUCCUCCUCGUCCUCGUCCACUUGAGGAGCAUCAUAAAAAAACGCACCACCCCGCACCGCAGCAGAUAGGCCAGGAAGAUAUUCCGCACGCCACACCAUCCGAUCCCAUCGCUUCACUGAGAGAAAUCUGAUAUUUCCUCGAUUCU
ensembl:ncRNA lncRNA:CR45723 long non-coding RNA:CR45723